GACGAACGCUGGCGGCGUGGAUUAGGCAUGCAAGUCGAACGGUAGGAUACCUUCGGGUAUCUGAGAGUGGCGAACGGGUGAGUAACACGUAGGUGAUCUACCCUCAAGAUUGGGACAACCCAGGGAAACUUGGGCUAAUACCGGAUGAAAGCAGCAGCGAUGUUGUUUGAAAGGUGGCGUAAGCUGCCGUUUGGGGAUGAGCCUGCGCUCUAUUAGUUAGUUGGCGGGGUAAAGGCCCACCAAGGCGAUGAUAGAUAGGCGGCCUUAACGGGUGGUCGCCCACACUGGGAUUGAGAUACGGCCCAGACUCCUACGGGAGGCAGCAGUCGAGAAUAGUCUACAAUGGCCGAAAGGCUGAUAGUGCGACGCCGCGUGAACGAAGAAGCCCUUCGGGGUGUAAAGUCUUUUAUAUGUGAGCAGUGCUUUCUAUGUGAACAGCAUAGGGAGAGAGAUAUUAGCAUAUGAAUAAGCAACGGCUAAACUCCGUGCCAGCAGCCGG
rnacentral:rRNA from 1 species